rnacentral:rRNA from 1 species
UACGGAGGGUGCGAGCGUUGUCCGGAAUCAUUGGGCGUAAAGGGCGCGUAGGUGGCCCGGUCAGUCUUUGGUGAAAGCGCGGGGCUCAACCCUGCGUCGGCCAGGGAUACUGCCGCGGCUCGAGCACUGUAGAGGCAGGCGGAAGUUCCGGGUCGUAGCGGUGGAAUGCGUAGAGAUCCGGAAGAACACCGGUGGCGAAGGCGGCCUGCUGGGCAGUUAGCUGACACUGAGGCGCGACAGCGUGGGAGCA